rnacentral:lncRNA from 1 species
AUAAAUUCAAUUGAAUACGAAUAAACCCAAACCCACAACCAAUAAACCAAACUUAUUGGUCUAAAAGACCUGCUGAGUCAUAGGACUCAUGAGAUCUUGGGCUUAAAGGAAAACAGAAACAAUAAUGGAAUUCGGACAAAAUCUGGCUCAAUACUAGCAUGCAUAAGAAAAAAUAAUUUGGAGAACCAGAAAAAAGAAAUUAAAAA